rnacentral:rRNA from 1 species
GACGAACGCUGGCGGCGUGCUUAACACAUGCAAGUCGAACGGAAAGGCUCCAGCUUGCUGGAGUACUCGAGUGGCGAACGGGUGAGUAACACGUGGGUAAUCUGCCCUGCACUCUGGGAUAAGCCUGGGAAACUGGGUCUAAUACUGAUAUGACCUUUCUCCUUAUGGGGUUUGGUGGAAAGUUUUUCGGUGUAGGAUGAGCCCGCGGCCUAUCAGCUUGUUGGUGGGGUGAUGGCCUACCAAGGCGACGACGGGUAGCCGGCCUGAGAGGGUGAUCGGCCACAUUGGGACUGAGAUACGGCCCAGACUCCUACGGGAGGCAGCAGUGGGGAAUAUUGCACAAUGGGCGGAAGCCUGAUGCAGCGACGCCGCGUGAGGGAUGACGGCCUUCGGGUUGUAAACCUCUUUCAGCAGGGACGAAGCGUAAGUGACGGUACCUGCAGAAGAAGCACCGGCUAACUAUGUG